GGUUCCUUUGGACUGCACCGGCUAAAAGAGGGUGUUACUUUCCGAGAGGCAAGCCGCAUAUGACGGUUGACAUUCUGCUAGGGGUCGGUGCACGGAUCGUAUAGCAGCCUGGUGGUGCAGCAGAGGCACAUCUAAAAGUUGCAGGACCCUGGAGGACUGGAGUUUGACACCCCUGCCCCAGUGCAUCGGUAAAAACAACUCAUAUAAUCAUGUUAAGGUUGUAACUUUCAGUUUAAUCGGCAGCUAACAAAAUUGUAAAAUAAAUAAAUUUGUAAACAAUUGCUCUAUAUUUCGCAAAGUUGUAGAUAUUUCGGCUGUCUGAAAUAAUUUGUUCCCCCUCCAUAAAGUGGGAACAAAUUAAUUUACCAGCAAGUCUUUAAAUGUGUUUAUUCCUCUCAUCAUCAGCAACAAAUCCUGUGGAUUUGGUGACAUUUGAUCAUUAUUUGCCAAAGUUAAAGGAGGGUGAAUCAUAUAUUUUAGCCACCUGAAAAAACCUGUUCCCCCUCCAUAACAUGUACAUGUAUAGAUUAUAUUAA